rnacentral:rRNA from 1 species
GAUGAACGCUGGCGGCGUGCUUAACACAUGCAAGUCGAACGGAAAGGCCCAAGCUUGCUUGGGUACUCGAGUGGCGAACGGGUGAGUAACACGUGGGUGAUCUGCCCUGCACUUCGGGAUAAGCCUGGGAAACUGGGUCUAAUACCGUAUAGGACCACUUCUUGGAUGUUGUGGUGGAAAGUUUGUUCGGUGGGGGGUGAGCUGGCGGCCUAUAAGCUUGUUGGUGGGGUAAUGGCCUACCAAGGCGUCGACGGGUAGCCGGACAUUGGGGGUGUGACGCCAUCCUGGGACUGAGAGACGGCCGAGACUCCUACGGGAGGCAGCAGUGGGGAAUAUUGAACAAUGGGCGCCGGCCUGAUGCAGCGGGGCCGCGUGGGGGAUGACGGCCUUCGUGUUGUAGAAUCCUUUCGCUAGGGACGAAGCGUUUUGUGACGGUACCUGGAGAAGAAGCACCGGCUAACUACGUG